rnacentral:lncRNA from 1 species
GGUACACCGGUUGUCCAGCCCUAAAUGAUGACAUAACAUCAACCUCACCAUCCAAAUACUAAAUACUAAAUACUAAACCUUAAACUUCAAUCACUAAACCCUAAACUCAAAUAUAACUCAUAAAUAUAAAUAUAAACUUUAAACCCGAAUAGAAUGAAAAAUAUAAAUAGUAUAGUACAUAUUGGUAAAAUUAUAAAAUGUAUAUAUUUGCAUGUAAGAAGUUAUGUUGACUCUAACCUCAACCCCAAAUUCCAAAUACUAAACCCUAAACCAAAAUAUAAACCCACCCUAAUCA